UACGGAGGGUGCGAGCGUUGUUCGGAUUUAUUGGGCGUAAAGCGCGUGUAGGCGGCUCCUUAAGUCUGAUGUGAAAGCCCUGGGCUCAACCCGGGAAGUGCAUUGGAAACUGGGGAACUUGAAUACGGGAGAGGGUAGUGGAAUUCCUGGUGUAGGAGUGAAAUCCGUAGAUAUCAGGAGGAACACCGGUGGCGAAGGCGGCUACCUGGACCGAUAUUGACGCUGAGACGCGAAAGCGUGGGGAGCAAACAGG
rnacentral:rRNA from 1 species